CUACGGGGUGCAGCAGUGAGGAAUAUUGCACAAUGGGGGGAACCCUGAUGCAGCAACGCCGCGUGGAGGAUGACGCAUUUCGGUGUGUAAACUCCUUUUAUAUGUCAAGAAAAUGACGGUAGCAUAUGAAUAAGCACCGGCUAACUCCGUGCCAGCAGCCGCGGUAAUACGGAGGGUACAAGCGUUACUCGGAAUCACUGGGCGUAAAGGACGCGUAGGCGGGUUGGAAAGUCAGGUGUGAAAUCCUACAGCUUAACUGUAGAACUGCACUUGAAACUUCUAAUCUAGAGUAUGGGAGGGGGAGAUGGAAUUAGUGGUGUAGGGGUAAAAUCCGUAGAUAUCACUAGGAAUACCUAAAGCGAAGGCGAUCUCCUGGAACAUUACUGACGCUAAGGCGUGAGAGCGUGGGGAGCAAACAGGAUUAGAUACCCGCGUAGUC
rnacentral:rRNA from 1 species